rnacentral:lncRNA from 1 species
UUCCCUUCCUCCAUCUGUAUGCUUUCUGAGAGUGUCUCAUCUAAAACUCUUUCUCCUACUUCUCAUCUUUGGAAGAGUCUAAAUCAAGAAUAAGGAGGCAUCUGAUCGACCAUCGAAGAAGGAUCAGUGCAGUACUAGCAUACUGUGCUCAUUUCCUAGACCAGGACUUCUGAUUGUGAUUCGUGGGCUCAUGUGGAUGACUCCUAGAGGCUGGAUACAUGUGU